GAUGAAGAACGCAGUGAAAUGCGAAAAGUAAUGUGAAUUGCAGAAUUCAGUGAAUCAUCGAAUCUUUGAACGCACAUUGCGCCCCCUGGUAUUCCGGGGGGCAUGCCUGUCCGAGCGUCAUUACAACCCUCAAGCUCAGCUUGGUAUUGGGCCCCGCCGCUCCGGCGGGCCCUAAAGUCAGUGGCGGUGCCGUCCGGCUCCGAGCGUAGUAAUUCUUCUCGCUCUGGAGGUCCGGUCGUGUGCUCGCCAGCAACCCCCAAUUUUUUUCAGGUUGACCUCGGAUCAGGUAGGGAUACCCGCUGAACUUAAGCAUAUCAAUAAGCGGAGGA
rnacentral:misc_RNA from 1 species